AUUCUGGUUGAUCCUGCCAGUAGUUAUAUGCUUGUCUCAAAGAUUAAGCCAUGCAUGUCUAAGUACACACGAAUUAAAAGUGAAACCGCAAAGGCGGUGGAGUUCUUAUAUGUAAUUAAGUACUUGUACUUUUUUAUAUAUUCCUCCUCUUAAUCGAGUGUUUUUGUGGGUAUUCUGUGCAUGGGAUAAUGAAGUAAGACCUCUGUUCUGCUUUCAUUGGUUUUCAGAUCAAGAGGUAAUGAUUAAUAGAAGCAGUUUGGGGGCAUUAGUAUUACGACGCGAGAGGUGAAAAGCGAAAGCAUUUGCCAAAGAUGUUUUCAUUAAUCAAGAACGAAAGUUAGAGGUUCGAAGGCGAUCAGAUUCCGCCCUAACCAUAAACGAUGCCAGCUAGCAAUUGGGUGUAGCUACUUUUAUGGCUCUCUCAGUCGCUUCACGGGAAACCAAAGCUUUUGGGCUCCGGGGAAAGUAUGGUUGCAAAGCUGAAACUUAAAGGAAUUGACGGAGGGCACCACCAGGAGUGGAGCCUGCGGCUUAAUUUGACUCAACACGGGAAAACUUACCAGCUCCGAACAUAAGUGUGUAAGACAGAUUGAUAGGUCUUUCUCGAAUCUAUGGGUGGUGCUGCAUGGCCGUUCUUAGUUCGUGGAGUGAUUUGUCUGGUUAAUUCCGAUAACGAACGAGACUCAAAUAUAUUAAAUAGAUAUCUUCAGGAUUAUGGUAUUGAAGCUUAUAUU
rnacentral:ncRNA from 1 species